UGGAAUCCAACAAAUUCUCAUUAACAAAUAAAAUAUCUAACCAUCAAUCGGUAGACUCAAAUCAUCCAUUGGAUUAUUCUAAAAAAUUAUCCACCUAUGCUAUUAUGAAAACUCAAAUCAUCACAACCAUUGGAUUUAUUAUAUUUUCUAAAAAAUUACCUACCUACGCUAUUAUGAAAAUAGCCUAAAGUAACCUCUAAAUCUAUAUUUGAAUUACCC
rnacentral:lncRNA from 1 species